GAUCCUGGCUCAGAUUGAACGCUGGCGGCAGGCCUAACACAUGCAAGUCGAGCGGGGUUUUCGGACCUAGCGGCGGACGGGUGAGUAAUGCGUAGGAAGCUGCCCGAUAGAGGGGGAUACCAGUUGGAAACGACUGUUAAUACCGCAUAAUGUCUACGGACCAAAGUGUGGGACCUUCGGGCCACAUGCUAUCGGAUGCGCCUACGUGGGAUUAGCUAGUUGGUGAGGUAAUGGCUCACCAAGGCGACGAUCUCUAGCUGGUUUGAGAGGAUGAUCAGCCACACUGGAACUGAGACACGGUCCAGACUCCUACGGGAGGCAGCAGUGGGGAAUAUUGGACAAUGGGCGCAAGCCUGAUCCAGCCAUGCCGCGUGUGUGAAGAAGGCCUUCGGGUUGUAAAGCACUUUCAGCGAGGAGGAAGGGGAUAGUAGUUAAUAGCUGCUACUUUUGACGUUACUCGCAGAAGAAGCACCGGCUACU
rnacentral:rRNA from 1 species